CAAUGGCGCGAUGUCGGCUCACUGCAACCUCCGCCUCCUGGAUUCAAGCGAUUCUCCUGCCUCAGCCUCCCGAGUGGCUGGGAUUACAGGCAUGCGCCACCACACCUGGCUAAUUUUUUGUAUUUUUAAGAAAGGAAGAAAGUGUGUUUCGGAGAAGCCAGGAAACAAAGUCAAGGCACAUGGUGGGAAACUGUUUCAGCAAAGGAUUUUGAUCUUAUCGGUGCUGAGCUCCAAACCACUGAACUAACCAGACUACCUGAGGCUACAGACUACAAAGCACAACACAUGAAGAGAGAAGAAAGGAUUCUGGGGUCAGAGUGAACAUAAACGCCUAGUGGUAUCACAGCACAAAGCCUUUGUUUAAAUAGGAAAUGGCACGAUAGAAGGCAGCCCUUAGCCCUCCUCUUGCUAUUGCAGAGAAUAGAAUCCUCAUUAGGUUUCCUGUUUAGGACAAAGUCAGAGGAAAGUCACAGAGGGAUCCAUCGGAAGAGUCCCAGAGGGAAAGGGAAAGGGAAAGGAGGUGAGAUCGUUGACACUGAAGACAAAAAGGCUGGGGCGACUUGCUGGCAUGGUGAGCCGCCUUACACAGAGGCCAGAGGUAGGCUGUUCUGAUGAAAUGGAUUCGCACAUAACUGGGGAAGUCUGAGCCAGAUACAGGCUGUGCCAAUGGGACAGAGUACUGGGACCCAGCCAGGGGACACCCUAGAGAGGUUCUGUAGAUGCCUUACACCUGUUCCAUUGCAUCAUAACCAUAACCUCCUCUGUACUGUAGUCACAUUUGGGCAUGUCAAGUCUCCGUCAAAGCACAGGCUCUGUGAGGGGCACCGUAGGAUGUAUCUUUCUGUUCCCAUCACACCCAGCUGAGGGUCCCAUCAGAGCUGGCACUCAGCCCAUCUUUAUUAAAUGAACUCUCCCUACAUUCCUGCCUACAGUCAUGAGCUGGGUACAAUGGCCUCUGAGAGGACACUGAGUGGCAGCCACAUGAGCGCCUCCAGGUCAGUAGGAAACCUCGAGAGGGUCCUCCCCGUGUCAUCCUUCUCUAUAAUAAUCCAUCCGCUUCCUCAGCUGGCUGGCCGUCUCCACUCUCUCCACAGAUCCACACUGCCAUCUGCUGGCAGAAGGCACAGGAGCAUCUCAACGCCGCUGUGCCCGCCUUGCAGGGCGUGCAGCAAUUCCCAAUGCCUGAUGCCCAGAGUAAUGCCCUCCUAACCCUUGGCAUGUGACAGUGUCAGCCGUAGAAACUUCAGGCUCUGUUCCUUGUGACUUCCCAAGCAUCUCCCUGUACUCAUCCUCCCUUUCUUCACAAAUUGUUCUCUAGUUCAGAAACGUGUCUUCCUCCACCAUCCCACCUGGGCAUACUGCAGACUCCUUUGACCCUGGGUUAGAGAAAAGAGAGCACAGAAGAGAGCCAGACACCUUCCACUUCGCAGCUCAGCCCUUCUCUAAGGCACUUCACUACAGAUCAUGAUGCCCGAGCAGGCUUGGUUAGAUUUUCUAUAGUGAGAUCUGUGAUUUGUUUGUUUCACAUUUCAACAACUCAGAAAUGAGGAUGCAUCUUAGAGUCAUGAGGUCUCGUGUGAAAACUUUGACACCUUCUGGAGAGAUCAAGAAGCACGAGCAUUAACGUGUCUCACUUUAAAUAGGUGAAGUGCAUGAUGUGUGAAUUAUAUCUCAAUAAGGCUACACUUAGUUUUGUUUAAAGCUGUCUCAGGUUGGGUUGGGGAACAUGGAUGUAUACACAAAGCUAACAUUCAAGGAUACACUCUACAGGAGCUUUCUCUUUCCAUCCUCAUAGCCUAAUGAGGAGACAUCGCCGCUAACCUCACAUUACAGAGCAGGAAAUGGGGGCUCAGAGAGGCUGUGCUCUUGCCCAGGGACUCACAGCUGGUACACAGUGCCAUCUGCUUUAGAACCCAUGUUCUAAACCACUAUAUACUCUUCUUUCACAUGUUACUUCUAUAAAGGAAAAAUAAAAGAAAAAUUUCUGUUGUAAGACAACAAACUUUCUUUUUUGAUUUAAAAAAAAAAAAGUUAUGGUAGGAAGUAUCCAAGAUGUCCUCCAAUAGGUGAAUGUAUAAACAAACCUUGUGUAUCUGUAACAAGAACAUUAUUCCAUGAUAAAAAGAAAUAAGCUAACAAGCCAUGAAAGGACAUGGAUGAACCUGAAAUACAUAUUGCUAAGUGAC
rnacentral:lncRNA from 10 species